CAUGCUGAUCUCUCUUCAGUGCAUAUAAAUCUUUCACCUUUCACUAACAAUUCCAUGGAGAGGAACAACUAUGGCUCUUAAACCAAUUUUUUAAGGCCUUGAAAUAGCGGGGAU
ensembl:snRNA U5 U5 spliceosomal RNA